CUGGCGGCGUGCUUAACACAUGCAAGUUCGAACGAAGAGCGAUGGAAGCUUUGCUUUCUAUCAAUCUUAGUUGGCGAACGGGUUGAGUAACGCGUAAUCAACCUGCCCUUCAGAGGGGGACAACAGUUGGAAACGACUGCUAAUACCGCAUACGAUCUAAACUCGGCAUCGAGGAUAGAUGAAAGGUGGCCUCUACAUGUAAGCUAUCACUGAAGGAGGGGAUUGCGUCUGAUUAGCUAGUUGGAGGGGUAACGGCCCACCAAGGCGAUGAUCAGUAGCCGGUCUGAGAGGAUGAACGGCCACAUUGGGACUGAGACACGGCCCAGACUCCUACGGGAGGCAGCAGUGGGGAAUCUUCCGCAAUGGACGAAAGUCUGACGGAGCAACGCCGCGUGAGUGAUGACGGCCUUCGGGUUGUAAAGCUCUGUUAAUCGGGACGAAAGGCCUUCUUGCGAAUAGUGAGAAGGAUUGACGGUACCGGAAUAGAAAGCCACGGCUAACUACGUGCCAGCAGCCGCGGUAAUACGUAGGUGGCAAGCGUUGUCCGGAAUUAUUGGGCGUAAAGCGCGCGCAGGCGGAUAGGUCAGUCUGUCUUAAAAGUUCGGGGCUUAACCCCGUGAUGGGAUGGAAACUGCCAAUCUAGAGUAUCGGAGAGGAAAGUGGAAUUCCUAGUGUAGCGGUGAAAUGCGUAGAUAUUAGGAAGAACACCAGUGGCGAAGGCGACUUUCUGGACGAAAACUGACGCUGAGGCGCGAAAGCCAGGGGAGCGAACGGGAUUAGAUACCCCGGUAGUCCUGGCCGUAAACGAUGGGUACUAGGUGUAGGAGGUAUCGACCCCUUCUGUGCCGGAGUUAACGCAAUAAGUACCCCGCCUGGGGAGUACGACCGCAAGGUUGAAACUCAGAGGAAUUGACGGGGGCCCGCACAAGCGGUGGAGUAUGUGGUUUAAUUCGACGCAACGCGAAGAACCUUACCAGGUCUUGACAUUGAUGGACAGAACUAGAGAUAGUUCCUCUUCUUCGGAAGCCAGAAAACAGGUGGUGCACGGUUGUCGUCAGCUCGUGUCGUGAGAUGUUGGGUUAAGUCCCACAACGAGCGCAACCCCUAUCUUAUGUUGCCAGCACGUAAUGGUGGGAACUCAUGAGAGACUGCCGCAGACAAUGCGGAGGAAGGCGGGGAUGACGUCAAAUCAUCAUGCCCCUUAUGACCUGGGCUACACACGUACUACAAUGGGAGUUAAUAGACGGAAGCGAGAUCGCGAGAUGGAGCAAACCCGAGAAACACUCUCUCAGUUCGGAUCGUAGGCUGCAACUCGCCUACGUGAAGUCGGAAUCGCUAGUAAUCGCAGGUCAGCAUACUGCGGUGAAUACGUUCCCGGGCCUUGCACACACCGCCCGUC
rnacentral:rRNA from 1 species